GGCAGGCCCGGGGGUUUCUGGUUACUGCGCUGCCAUGCACUGCGGGCAGCUGGGCUCCCCUGUGGCAUGGCCCCUGCCUCCUCCCUGCACUCUCGGGCCACUGCCAGACCUGGGGCAGCACUGGUGGGAGGGUGAUGUGCGUGCAGCUCCCGCACCCCAUCCCGUGCGCCUGCUCCAGCCCCACCACUAUUCGAAUGUGGAAGCCGGGGAGCAUGGGGUUCCCGGACCAUGCAGGAGGCAGCACCAGCAUCCAGUGGAAGGACACCUCAACCAGGGGGUGCUCCUUGUUCCAGAAAAUCUGAUGUCAACGAAAAAUAAAGGAAAUCUAUUGCUCUCAUUCAAAUUAAGCAUGAUUUUACCAACACAUGGUGAAAGGAGGAGGAGAAUCCUUUAGACCCCAAGAAGGAGUGUGAAUUCCAUUGCACUCAGCUGUUUGGUGUAAGAAAGAUAUGAUCCCAAGAUGGAAAAAGCCAAAUGAAGAAGAGGGGGAAAAAGCCAGAAAAGGCCGAACCUCUUUAAGGACCGUUGUGGGUUCCAGCCCAGUGUGUGCGACCGGCACUGAAACAGCAUGGCGUGGCACCAGGGGCUAUCGAACCCCAUACCGGAGUUUCAGCUGACCUUGGAGGAGAACACGGUGCCUCCCGGGUCGACAACGGCGGGACGGAAACGGAGGAGGCGUAGCGUCCCAAGCCAGCCUGUGACAUGGGGAGCAGUAAAAGCAUUGGUCGCCGCGGCUCAACGAAGACUGGCAGCAAACCAACAGCCAGAGACUCCUGAGACUUUGUUUGUGGCAAUUCUUGCCCAAAUUACUGCUAAUUCUGUAUUGAUUGUAUGCCUUUUGUGCCUGCUAUUUCCUGUAGGGGUUGGCUCAGGAGCGCUUCCUCCGUUACGGGCCCGAAUGACAUACAACCUAUGGGAAAGAUUGGCUUCCAUAGCAAAUGUUACCCACUUUUGUUUAUCUGAUUUUGUAGCAGCUGAAGAAUUGUUAGGUACGUGCCUUAUUCCAGUAUGUCAUCACCCUGAGGAAAUUGGGAAUGAGAUGAUACUUGCUGCUUACGCGAACCUCUCUUCCCAGUACUCUAGCAUGGCUAAUUGGGGCCCGGCCAAUUACACUUUACCUUCUUAAGCUUAUUUUUUGCUGUUGCUGUGUGCAAUGUAUUUCCUUUUUGUUAAGGCUUUGUCAAGACCCGCCCUGGCAGGCUCCACGAGUUAUGACCUUGUCUGUCCGGGAGUUAAUUGGCUUGCAAAAGCAAAUUGAUGGCUACCAUGAGAUGGCCAAGCACAAAUAAACAAAAAAGGAGGGGAUGUAGGAUUCAUACAGGGUUCAUGCGCUUGGCAACAUUCAGGGCACACCCUGAGUGUUGUGUAGGAGGAGUGCACACACAGCUCCUCUCAAGGGCAUGAACCUUGGAAUCUCGCCCAGAUGACAUGAACCGUGGGAAGCCUCCCAGGACUGGGCUCAAGGCUCGAGAGCAAGGAAUGCAGUAGAUAGAAAUUGGUAAAUAAGAAUGUUAAACAAAGCCAGUGUAUUCCUUUUAUCUGUUGGAGAAUGUAAUGCGCGGGGGGAGAGAAAGAAUAAAGGAGAGGGUGGAAAGCUGACAGGAGCAGUCCGUUGGCA